AGAUUUUGUACCUCGGUUGCAAAAAGAUUUGAAAAGAACUGUAGAUGCCAGGCUGAAAUUAAGGGAGGAACUGAGUGGCAGUAGAUUGAAGCCAAAACCUAUUGAUGUGCAAGUUAUUACACACCACAUGCAACGAUAUGCAGUUUGGUUUGGAGGAUCGAUGCUGGCUUCCACGCCUGAGUUCUACCAAGUAUGCCACACCAAAAAGGAUUAUGAACCUAGGAUUGGACCUAGCAUUUGUAGUCAC